GACGAACGCUGGCGGCGUGCUUAACACGUGCAAGUCGAACGGUGAAGCGCCUUCCUUUUUGGUGGGUGUGGAUGGGUGGCGAACGGGUGAGUAACACGUGAGUAACCUGCCCCCUUCUUCUGGAUAACCGCAUGAAAGUGUGGCUAAUACGGGAUAUUCUGGGUCUGUCGCAUGAUGGGUCUGGGAAAGAUAUUGUUUCGGUGGGGGAUGGGCUCGCGGCCUAUCAGCUUGUUGGUGGGGUGAUGGCCUACCAAGGCGGUGACGGGUAGCCGGCCUGAGAGGGUGGACGGUCACACUGGGACUGAGGCACGGCCCAGACUCCUACGGGAGGCAGCAGUGGGGAAUAUUGCACAGUGGGCGCAAGCCUGAUGCAGCGACGCCGCGUGAGGGAUGGAGGCCUUCGGGUUGUGAACCUCUUUCGCCAGUGAAGCAGGCCUGCCUCGUUUGUGGGUGGGUUGACGGUAGCUGGAUAAGAAGCGCCGGCUAACUACGUG
rnacentral:rRNA from 1 species